AUGGAGACCAAAAUUUCGGCAAAGAGAGUAGAAAAUCUGCAGACCACCCUCGGGUUUGCAGGCUGUUUUGCGGUGGAUAGCGAGGGUUUGAGUGGAGGAAUUGCUUUAUUCUGGUCAGCCGAUGUCAAGGUUGAGCUCAGGAACUACAGUUCUGGCCAUAUUGAUGUUAUGGUGCAGAAAAUUGAUCAAAACACUAACCCAUGGAGAUUCACGGGUUUCUAUGGCGCCCCCAGAGCGGGGGAUCGACACCACAGUUGGAGGUUUCUUCGUACGUUGAUGGCAGUACCACACACGGCCUGGUUGUGUGUUGGUGACUUCAACGAGACACUCUAUGCUUCGGAACACUUCUCGCGAGCGGCAAGGCCUGAAUGGCAAAUGCGAGCAUUCCGGGAAGUCACUGAUGAAUGCCUCUUCCAGGACCUGGGAUGGACGGGGACAGAAUACACAUGGGACAACGGACAGUUGGGCCAUGAUAACGUAAAAGCUAGGUUGGUUAGGGCUUUUGGGAAUCCAGACCUAAUUCACCUGUACGGCCGUUCGCGAGUGAGACAUAUAAGUACGACCGAAUCAGACCACUGCUUUCUGCUGCUGGAACUGAGGGCGGACGAGGUCGAGUACAGGACAAGGAGAGCGAAGCAAUUUCGCUAUGAGGAUGUCUGGCAAACACAUGCAGAUUAUGACCAAGUGGUGAUAGAGAAUUGGCAAAGGGGGUCAGGUCAGCAAGGUUUGGCCGGUGUGAUCAGCGCACUCAAGAACAUGCAGAGCACGUUAUCAGCAUGGGGUGCGAAGGAAUUUGGUAGCCUAACCGCCACCAUAAAAAAGCUCCGAGCAAAACUGGACCGCUUACGGAGUCAGGCUAUCAGCAGAGGGCCCUCGGACGAAGAAAAGGCCACAGUUAAAAAGCUGCACGAGGCACUUCGUCAGGAGGAAAUAUGGAUGCGACAACGAUCGCGAGUACCGUGGCUGCGUCACGGUGAUCGGAACACCAAAAAUUUUCACGCGCAAGCUGCUAUGAGGAGGCGCUUGAAUAAAAUAGAGAGACUUGAGCAUGCGGAUGGUUCUGUUUGCCAAACAGUUGAGGACGAUCAGGAGGAAGUCCGGCAGUUUUACCAAGCUCUAUAUACAUCUCAAGGCUUCAACCAACUAGAUGAGCUCCUUGAUUUGGUUCCAGUCCGUGUGUCUGAACAAAUGAAUACAUGCAUUGACAUGCCUUACACAGCAUAG
rnacentral:rRNA from 1 species